GUGCCAGCAGCCGCGGUAAUACAGAGACUGCAAGCGUUAUUCGGAUUCACUGGGCGUAAAGGGUGCGCAGGUGGUCGUGUGUGUCAGAUGUGAAAUCCCGGAGCUUAACUCCGGAACUGCGUCUGAAACUGCACGACUAGAGCAUUGGAGAGGGUAGUGGAAUUCACGGUGUAGCAGUGAAAUGCGUAGAUAUCGUGAGGAACACCAGAGGCGAAGGCGACUACCUGGACAAUUGCUGACACUCAGGCACGAAAGCAUGGGGAGCAAAAGGGAUUAGAUACCCCUGUAGUCC
rnacentral:rRNA from 1 species